AGACAAACUACAAAUAAAGGAGUUCAGCUUGACUGGGGUCAGGAGAUAAAGCUAGAGAGAACCAGAACCAGAGGGUGCAAUAACAGAGGUCAGCAUGGCUGGGACAUGUAGGAGCACUUGGAACUGAGCAAAGAAACCAUGUAUGAAAAUGUGACAGGGUGCGACAACAGAAGUCAGCACAGCUGUGGUGUAGGAGCACUCGGAACUCAAUCCCUUGCCCUACCACAGCAGAUCUUUUUGGUCUAACAUGCACCAGCAGUAACCUAGGAGGACGGACCAGCCAGGUGGCCCUCUGCUCAGUUGAAAAGCUGCUGAACAGACUUCAGAAGAAGUGUAAACGGCCAACAGAUGUAUGCAAAGACAUUCAGCAUCUUCAGCCUCAAGAGAAGUGCCAAGAACAAGCUUCGUGUAGAGGAAUGAUCACACCUACUGAUGAGGAAACAGGCUGAGGACAUUCUGUUGCCAAGGGACCGUGUGGCUUCUUACCACACAAGCAUUACUGUGGUUUGCUCUGUUUCGCCACGCUUGUAAGUCUCAAAGUUAUUGCUUCUAACGGUAAAUGUGUCCUCUGGAACUCAUGUCUCCUCCUUUUUCUCUUUUGGUCUUAAGUUAUAUCGGGAACCAGACUGUUCUUUUGGGGGGGGGGCGUAUUUUCAGCUUCAGAGUUUCUUUUUUUCCUCUCUAGACUUAGUUCAGUUUUUCAAACAUGUAAACAUUCAUAAUUUUCAAAAGUUAAAAAAAUUACGUUGGGAAGAUACCUACAGGGAGGCCUCAUGCUGUUGUCCCUCAACAGACUGUCCCUGGGCCCACACAGCCAUGCUGUGUUUUCCUAGUGUCUUUGCUUCACUUUUUUAUGGCAUCAAAGGCACCCCUGUGCCGUUGGCCAGUUGUUGGUUUCCUGCAUGUCCUGACAGUCCCUUUUGGCAGGCAUCCUUAGCCUCUCCUGCUUUUCACUUGGGUGGAUGGAGCUAGGCUCAGGCCUCCCACAGCCUCUGACAGACAGUCUGCCUAUGGCAAGCAGCUUCCCAAGAAGAAUCCUUGUGCGUGUUGAGUGGUGUCUGUGGAUUGAAAUUUGUGGGUAAAGUUUAAUUCGGGAUUGCAGGGUUCAGGAACAAAGCUAUAUCUAACUCACAAAAGGCUGUCAAAUUCUGCCCUCCAGCCGGAGGGGCUAUCAGUACCCACCAGCGAAGUCUGAGAAUGGCAGUUCUCCAGAGGGGUUAAACUUUGGAUUUCUGGAAACUUUACAGAUGGAAGCCCUGGAGGGUCUUUUUUUAUACGUGUGCAAGAGCAUGCAGGGGUGUGGAGAGGGAGGCCAGCCCUAGAUUCCAUUCUCAGGAACACCACCCACAUUAGAGACAAGGUCUCUUUAUGGCCUGGAGCCCACCACCAGGUAAGGCUCCCUGGAACCCACCACCUAGGUAAGGCUCCCUGGAGCCCACCACCUAGGUAAGGCUCUCUGGAGCCCACCACCUAAGUAAGGCUCUCUGGAGCCCACCGCCUAGGUAAGGCUCUCUGGGCUCCAUCACCUAGGUAAGCCUCUCUGGCCAGCUACUGCAGAGCACCCUACUCCAAGCUCUGGGAUAAUCAGCAUGUACCACAAUACUCAGUGUUUUCGCGUGGCUUCUGGGUUCAAACUCAGGUCCUAGUGUUUGCAAGGCAAGUGAUUUCCUGAUUGAGCUGUCUCCACAGCCCCUGGAGAGUCUUGUUUGGGGGAUGAGCUAGGAGCUGGCCAUGUAGAUCUUUUAAAAAUCUCUACUGGUGUCUUUCACGCCUAACUGGGGUUGAGCAUCUUUGAGUCAAGUGUGCCAGGUUCCUUUGCUGUUUCAAUAAGGGUGCCAACAUUGGAUGUCAUUAACAGUCUGGCAGGUUGAUUGAUUUGUUGGCUGCUUGGGAAAUGGGGGAGUAUAUUUCAUUUUGUUUUGAUUUUUAAGACAUGAUCUAUACAGCCCAGCUGGGCUGGGACUUACAAUGUCGUUUAGGUAAGCCUGGAACUCCUGAACCUCCUGCCUCUACUUCCCAAGGGCAACUCUGGCCAUGUGUCACUACAGCCAGCUACAAAGUAGUUUUCUUUCUUCUAAUUUGUCAUCAGUCUUUUCUUUCAACUCUUUUCUCCUGUUACAUGUGCUCCCUGCCUCCUAGCCUCAGCCUGCCCCUACCCUUGCCCCAGGAAGAGCCACUUUCCUGAGAUGUCAGAGCCUUGACUUACGUGGCUUUGGGAGGCAGUUGGAAGCACAUGCUGGUUUGGAGGCUGAGCGAAUACUAGAGUUUGCCUAAGAUGAAGACCUGUGUGCAGCAUGGGACGGGCCAUGUGCCACACUCUAGCCCUUGUCGUCUAGAACCAAAUCUUGCCAGCUUCUGCCUCGCUGUGCCCCACCACCUGCAUUGCCCACAGUUGUUAUGGGAAGGUGAGUGGGGUUUGGAAAUUGCUCUUCCUGGUGUGGAAGGUUGUUUGGUGAAGAGCCCUCAUCAGACCCUCCCCUGGAGAAGGUUCUGAACUUCAGUUUCCAGCAUCUCCCUGGUUCAUUCUUUGCAGCUGCCCCUCCUACCAGCAGCUAAAAUUCACAAACCAGAAAAGAGCUGUCUUCAAGGGUUAGUAGCAGCCAACAGUCUUCCCACAACCCCUCAAGAGCAGAGGAGAGUGCUGGCCAGUCCUGGCAUUGGGGAAAUCGGUCAUCACUGGUACAAGAUGAGUAGUAUCCACCCAGCUGUUUACCAAGAAAGCUCCAAGCCACCCCACCCUCAUUCCUUAGAUUGCUUAGUGAGUUUUCCAUUGACCUCCAGGCCUCCCCUUAAGACACAGCUUGGGAGAACACACUGCUCACUUCUUUGUGGUCGAUUAUAUCAGGCCCUGCCCCAGAAAGGGUGCAGAACUUAGGGUGCAUCCCCAAGGACAUCCCUGGGGUGCCUAUUACUUAGUUCAGCCCAGGCGGUGCCCAUCGUGACUGAGAGUUGGGAUGAAGGGCCCUCAGUGGCAUACCAUAAUGCAGUCUGUCUCUCAGAUGCCUGCAUUGGGAUGUGUGUGGUAAAGGUAUUCGGGCACCAGAAGCACGGCUGGGUGUGUUUGGUGGAAUAGUGGCACAUUCCACCCUGUGGAGGGGGAGCCAGUUCGCUGUCAUCCUCCUUUGGGGGCCAGGUUACAUGUGAAUCUUCAUUCACGGUUUUGAGCUCCCAUAAAGCUGCUUGUGCGUACAGUGGUAGUCUUUCCCCCGGGCCUCCUUGUCUGCCUUCCAUAGAGAUGAGUUUCAUUCUCUGUAACGUGGUCCCAGGAGAGAGGAUUAUGCCUACUGAGACAAUGGUAGCCUUCUGCUGGCCACCAUGAAAAAUGUGACCUCCACUACUUAUGACUUGUGAGUGUGGUGUUCCCUGGUGCUCUUCUUGGGGAUCUCCAUGCUGUGGAAUAAUCCCUGUGUACACUGUGAAAACUUGCUUACAUCUCUGUGCUCCUUGAGUCAGAGUUCAGCUUCUCCUAGCUCCUUGUCUUACCACUUGCCUGCAGGCCUGCAAGGUUUCCGAAAGACUUGACUCUGUGAAACUGUGUCUCCACAAUGUAAAACUCAAGCUCUGGAGCAGACUGGAAAGCUGGCAUUCCAAAGCCCUUUCCUGGAAGUAUUCUCAUCUCUCUCCAGAUAUUCCAGGAGCCUGAGGGAGUAAGCUAGAUGGAGCAGGUGCUCAGACAUCCCUCGUGUAUUACCAUGAAAAGGUGAGUCUGGGCCUGAGUCCCAAGACCACGUGGGCCUGGAAGCUGGGAAUAGUUUGAGGCCUCCCAGCUUUGGCUCAGCAGCUCUGGGCUGGCCUUGCUCACAAUGUUGUCUCAGGCUGGUGGCAUAAUGACAGGGCCUUGUUCCUCUCUGCCAUUGGAGGGAAGACAAACAAAAUGACAGACUUGGGCCAGUAGGUAAUGUCAUCUCUAUUGAAACUGAGACUCUCUGGUCCCAUCUGCAGUGUGAACUGCUUCUUGCUCAGGGUCAGUGGGCAUCUUUGGAUUAGGUUCCGUGGAGCAGUGGGAAUUAGGAAGGUAUCUUUGAUCCAGGUCAUUGGCCUGAGCUGUAACACCCUUUCCAGGUGGGAGGUGAGAAGCAAGGUAAGCAAAUGAGCUAGGUACAGGGAGACUGGCUAGAAGGGGUGGCCCACAGCCGGUGAUGAUGUGUGAAGAUCCUGAGGGCCUGACCCCACAUGCCCAUCUUCCCAUGCAUCCAACACCAACUGUGUGGUGAAGACAGACAUUCCCGACCCUAUAUCUAGUCUCCAGAGCUACAAGAAGAGAUGUGAUCCUUGUGAGUGUGUCCAGUGUUCCAGAGGCCAAGAGGAAGUUACUAUGUUACUCUGAGAGUUGGGCUAGCAAGACUCUAUGCCAGCAGUUUUCAACCUGUGUGUCAAGACUCCUUUGGGGGUCAAAUGACCCUUUCACAUGGGCCACCUAAGACAGUUGGAAAACACAGAUAUUUACAUCAUGAUUCACAACAGUAGCAAAAUUACAGUUACAAAAUGGCAAUGAAAUGAUUUUAUGGUUUGGAGUCACCACAUGAGGAAGGGUAUUAAAGGUUUGCAGCGUCAGGAAGUUUAUGCUGUGACUUCUCACUGUGUACAUGGUUUUUGACCACUCUGAAAGUUUGGGGGUCUACCCCUUGCCCCUUGUUGUUCUACAUGUGCCAUCACCUAUUAAACCAGCUACUACCCUGGGCCCAUGAAGUAUCCUGGCCUUUCUCUGAAGCCUGGGGCACCAGGCAGGUAAAAAUCAAUUCUGAUUAGCUGUCUCCUUUGCCCCUUCCACAGAGGGCCACAAGUCAUGUAUCCCCUGUGUUCCUCCCCCACCAAAGGUGUUGAUGAGGGAACUGUAUGAAGGCUGAUAACAAACCCACAGGUAAGCCUGGACUCUUGGUCACAGAGGUGACUAGCUGGAGAUAGAUGAGUGGCUGGAAGGUGAACAAACAGGAAGGAACGGUUGUCCUGCCAUACCUGUCAUCUAAGGGACAAGGAAGGAAUGGGUUAAUGGACACACACUGUGGGGAAUGGGUUUAACUCAGAGCCCAGCUGUUACGUUCACACAUGUCAUCAGGCAAAAGAAGGCCUUUGCUGGAGUCGUGCUCCUGGGAUACCGGUAUGUUCACCCUCUCCCUGCUAUAGACUUGAUCAAAACCGUGUGUCCAGAGUCACCUUUGACCUGCCUUUGUUGCUAUACAGAAGGUUGGGGCUGCUGUUUCCUCCCCAUGAUCUACUCUGGCACAAAAUAUGGUUUCUCCCAGCCUUCCUGAUGGCUGCAGGCGCUUCCUUUACCCUGUGUGCUUGGCAGGCUCUUUAUCUUGAUCCUAGGAAAGCAAAGGCAUUUGCUGAGUCCUCAUCAGCCUGCUAGAGGCACCAGCCACCAGGGUUCAGACUUACACAGAAAAGCCAGUGGGAGCAAAUCCACUUCAUCCUGCAAGAACAGCGGGGCCUGGCCUUGUUUGCCCAGGCCAGUAUGGCUGGCCCUGGUGUAGACUCUCCCUACUCAUCAUGGCCUGGCCUCCUUCCUGCUAGGACCUUCGAAGGAGGCUAUGGGAAGAGCCGCCUCCACCUCCUCAGAAGCCUCCUCAGCCUGCCUCUGUCCUUUCUAGCUUAAACCAGUUGUUCUAGACAUCUCACAUCUUACAUAAACUGAGGUGUUCCCGUCUCCAAGUCCCUGGCACCACAGGGUGACAUACCUUCCUGCUUCACUGCCUAACCUCAACCCUGGCCCUCAUCUGUCCACAGAGGUUUGAGUUCCCUGGCUUCAUUCCAGUUCCUCUCUGGAGCCGGUGGCACCUCCAGCCCUCAGCCACUUGAGCAAAUGCCAAGUCACCUACCCUGACAUCAGCAAUUACGCCAAGGGCCAUUAGGUUCUCAGCGUGACUAUUUUUAGAGAUCCUGUGUCUAUCAGUGUGACAUUUCCCCCUGUGGAAAAAACGUGCUUCCUUCCAUCUGCAAUAGCUGCUCUGACCCUCUUUUCACCUCUAGCCAAGAAACGGCCUUGGUCCCCUCGGAUGUUUUGCCCAUUGCCUGGAGACUACUUGGGCAGGAAAGACCAGGCCCCGAAGAGCCUCCUGCACCCCCACACUGCCACAGUUGCUUGACUUUAAGUGUGAGAUUUGCCUGAACUCAGUUCUUACAUUAUCCUUCUUUACCCCUCCAUCCCCAAAUCUCAGUGAAGAAGUACACCCUGACUGAAGGGCAUGCAGGACAACCACAGCAGAGCCAGGCAGAUGGCACACACAGCCCAUCCCAUGAAGAGAGACCAGGCAGAGAGCCAGUUACCAAGCACCCAGGUACACGGUCUCAGCUGCUUGUGUGAGCGCUGGAGCCUAGGCUGCCUGGUCUCUGUUGUCCUCUGGCACCUGCACCUGCAGGUGUUCACGCUACGCCACAAGUGACUAAGAUGGACCGUGUGCCUUAUGCUCAGUGUGCGCACACCUUGUGCCACGCUGCUGAGCCACCGCCACACUCUGACCUCAUGUGCUGUGCUGUCCUCCCCUCAACCCUCCUCUGGCUACACAGCUCCUAAAAGCACCAGUCUCUAACCGUGACCAUCAUCCUCCAAUUCAGUGAAGGCCUCUGAGCAUUGGGCCCGUGAGAACCAGUGAAAUAUACUAGAUUAGGGGACCAGAGAGACACCACACAGCCAGGAUUUUAUUGCUUAUAACACAGUCCCAUGGACAAAAUGCAGCCAAUGUGCACAUGAAUAAGGAAAACUGCAAGCCCUCUGUGGUGAUUUGAAACAUAAUGGCCCUCAUAGGGGGUGGUACUCUUCCACAGACAAAACCAUAAAAGAGCUGUGAGGUAAGAAAACAAUCUACCCUUUUAUCUCAUCAUUUCUAUACUAUAUCACCCUUUUUUCCUUCAGAAAGAGACCCUUGAAUCUAACUCCUUUGUUUAACUGUUUUUCCUGAUCAUAACCAAUAACAAUUUGUAACCAACCACCUAAAUGAUAACAAACAUGUACAACCCAUCGAAUGACCAAAAGCCAGCCACCCCACCUCUUGGGAAUGUGGGCAUCGCGUUCUGUAGACUGUUUCCUGUUGUCUGGGAACACUGACAUCUUUAAGAGAUGCUGGGGAAAAAAUGGGAUAGAGGUCAAGUCCUGGGAGAGGUAGCUGUAUUAUUUGUUGUCCAGUCUCUGUGCAAUGGAAAGGUGUAAAGCUCCUCUGAAGUUCUGGCUGGAAUAGUCUGUGAGGCUGGACCAUCUCAGCCAGCAGCCUUGAAGCUGUUCUGGAUAUGGAACUCUGAAGAAACUGCAACCGAGGCCCUCUGAGAGGCUGGGUCUCUUGGGCCACCCAUCUUCAUUUGUGCCGGGUCCCCUUGCUCUAUCUUGUAGUUUUUCUAGGCUUAUGCCUUUAUGUCUGUAGCCAGGAUUUUCAGGGGGUCUCCCCUGUUCCAAUCGGAUCUCAAUUAACUUGAAAGGAACCCACAGCCUUUUGUUUCCUCUGGAAACAAAAGCAUAACCUCUCCUGCAAUGCAACAUAUUGUCUGACUUCUAUUUUGAAGUUAAGACAUUUUAAAAAUAUAUAAGAUGGUUUAAUUUAGCAUUUCCAUAAUCCAAUAUCUCUCAAUAGCUAUUGUUUUUUCUACAUUAGCCUUUAAAAAAAUCAAAGUUAACAAGACACCAUUGAGUAUCCAGACUCCUUGUGUAUUUUCCAUCCUUAUGUGACUUUAUUUUUAUUACUUUAUUCUCUCUUUAAAAACUUUAUUAUUUUUAAAUUAUUUAUUUUUCUAUGACUGUCUAUACCUAUUUUCCCCUUAAGCCUAUGCACACUGUUAAACACACUGUAACUUGUUUAGAAAUUUGUUUUUUUUUUCCCAUCUGAACCUGCUUUACUGUGUAUCUGUAACCUUUUCUGUCAGCAUGAGCAAAACCUUAAACCGUCCUGCAGCUUAGCUCAUGGUGUGGCUCAAGCCCUCAGGCUGCAGCCAGGAAACAUGUCUCUGUACCUCAGCCUGCAUGAGAGACUGAGGGGCUAGGAAGCUUCAUUUUGCUCCAGUUUUGCAUACUUGUGUAUUUGGAACCUUUUUUUAUUAAGCUUUCUUGGGUCUUAUGUGGAAAUACCUGCCUAGACAUUGGCUACCAUUUGUAGGCAGAUUUUUCUGUCCCACCAACCAACUCCCAAAUCACGACAUGAGACUUAUUAUCAGUUGUAAAAGCUCAGCCAAUAGUUUAGGUGUGUUUUUAACUAGCUCUUACAACUUAAAUUAACCCAUUUCUUUAAUCUACGACAUUCUUUUAGGUGACUUGUAAUCUGUAAAGUCCAUGCUGCUUCCUCUGCACCUGGCUGGUGACUCCUUGGGCCUCUAUCCUUCUUCUGUGUUCUCUCUGCCCCCCAAAAUCCUGACUAGCUGUUUAGCUUUCUAUUAAACCAAUCAUAGUGACAUAUAUUCACACAGCGUGUGAGGGAAUAUUCUACAAUACAGUCGAAUCUCUUUGGCCCCACACCAGCCAUCAAGAGAAGAUAGGCCCCGAAUGAGGAAGUGUACAGACCCUCUGCCUCCCAGACGUCUGGCAGUGGCUGCUAAGCGGUCAUGUUAGGAAGAAAUCAUGUGAUACACUAAGCUAGAAUGCUGAUUAAUGAAGUCGACAGGCAGUGUGUGAGCAAUGUAUGUGCCUGGUGACCCACUUAAAGGCGGGCUCACUUUCAAGCUUAUAACGGAGGUUAUAUGCCUGGAGCGCAGUUGUCCAGAAAUUGUUGGAGGAAGUGUGUGGACAGGGUCUACUCCAGUUUCUGCCAAUCCAUCUUCUACAGGCCCUGGGGGGAGGCUUUCCAAGCAUCCCUUUCCUUCCCCUCUCCACUCACACUGUUCAACAAGGAGACUGGGUGUGUUUUUAAAACCCACUCACAGGGAUUUGGGGGAGCAGAGGGGGAUUCAUCUGCCCCCACAGCAACUCAGAUCAAUCGAGGAGAAAAACGAAGGGUACACCAACGGCCACAGCGUCCCAUGGAUGGCACAUCUGUUUUGACAUGGUGUGACCUUGGGAAAGCACCAUGGACAGUGCUUCAAGGUACAGAACGGGAAAUCAAACCUUGGCUGAAGACAUGGCCAUGAAGGCAUGCUUUCAUGGAUAGCUAGCACGCCUUUGCCGGCUGACAGGCCUGAGUUCUCAGCUCAUGCAGGCUGGGAGGCCUGAGCCUCAGAGGAAAUCACGUACUCCUUCAUGAGUAGACAGGAUGUCAGAGGAACUGGCCUCUGCAAUGCAAGGGAGUAGGAGAGGGAUGGCCAGGAUGGGCUGAACUGCCUAACACCUGCCUCCAAAGAUGACUUCUGUUUCUUUCCCUAGGGGAAUAUUCCCAUAAAGCCAGACAACUCUGGUCACUGCAAGCCCGCCCUGGCCCAGGACACAUGCUUCCAGCAUGACAGGUCUGAGAGACAAUGGGCAGGGAGAGCUGUCUGCUCUCCACUCCCCACCAGGCUGCUGGCGAUCCUGACCUCCAGCCAGGGGAACCUGUGGUUCCAGCUUUCACCUUCUCAACUCUCUGGAAACACAGAACGGAUUUGCCAACUCUUCAGAUUGCAACUGUUGUUGCAACCUUGAGGCAUCAGGGAGCUUUGUGUCCUAUCAUUUCCCCAUUUAAGGACCUCAUAUGGAACUCCCGGAUCAAACUCCAAGUCCAAGCCCGCUCCAUGGACCCCAAGUCCGUGAUCUCAGUUUUUGGCUCACAGCCCUGCUCACUCCCACACCUCCUGCUCUAGAGCACCCCCACAGCAAGCAGAGAACCCAGAGAAAUGUGAGGUACACCAAACCACAAAGAAGUUCUACACUCAAGCUCAGCAAACUCCUACUCCACAGCCCAUCAGGGCCCCCAGCCCCACCUCAGCCCGUAUGUAAGGUGUCAAGUGCCAGAAUGGGAAUGGUCCAUGUGCCAAAAAUCCAACACUUCCCCAGACGAGGGUAAGAGCGAGGUCACAGCCUCGAUGAAGAAAUGUGAGCAUUUCUCAGGGUUUCAUUUUUCAUUCAAGCCAAGCACAGUCAUCAUCUGGGGCUGAUGGCUCUUGGAGGGCGAUCUCGUCUUGCUUAUGUACCACUUGGGGAACAUUAAAUACCAAAUAACCACAAAGGAGGCUUCUAACUUUCCUAUGAUUAAUGGCAGGUUGAUGUACGGCCACCAUAAGAUGCAGUGAGCAGAAAUGAUCUGAAAAGAGAAGAGCUAACACUUGCUCAAUGCUUGUUGUGUGCAGAAUGCUGUUUCCAAGUCCCGCAGGAGACACUGUUAUCAUAAUUAAGAAGAUGAAAACAGAGGCUUACAGCAGUUUAGCCACGUGCCCCAGGUUACAGCGCAGGUCAGCGGUGGCAGACUUGAGCCAAGGCAUUGUCCUACAGGGGUAACUUCCUUUGCCACAUCAGGAACACCCCUUCUACAGCCACAUUUGGGGAAGGAAGCGCCAGGGAGUCAGCCCGGGCUUUACAGCAAGUCCAGAUUGAGACAGUGACCCCAUUUCCGCCCCUGUUGUGGAGAGCUUCCGGGAAGAGGUAGAUGUUAACAUGGUGAAGAGGAUAUGGCGUGGAGAAGGAAUGGGGGCUCUGAUAUACAACCUUAGAUGGCCUGGGCAAUGACUUGAGCCCCAAGAGGGACCUGAGUCCACCUGCCGAGUACAUCACAUGGAGUUUGAGGUGAAGUCCUCCCGUGUGAGGUGUGGUGCGGGCAUCCAGGCAGGAGACCAAGCCUUAGCUCAUGUGACUUUCCACCAAAGACAGGACUGUUCCUGGACAGAACUGGAGCCUCUGCAAGGGAACAGCAGUCACCACACAUAAUCAUGCGAGGUGAACAAGCUUCUACUGCCAAUCAGCUCCCACCACCGCCUGCUGGGCCCAAAGCAAUGUGCUGUGUGACCAAGAGCUGAAUCAUCUGAAACUUAGCCAAGCAGACCUCUUCUGUUUUCCUUUGGGUUGAUUGCCUCAGGUAUUUCGUCACAGCAAGAGGAAGUAACACAAGUCAAACACUACCAAUGGCAGCAGCAGCCCUGCUCACCUCAGCCGCCUCUCUCUGCACCAGCAACAGCAUCGUUUUCACCUCAGAGCUUCCAGUCAUGCCCUUCUACCUUUCUGGAAUAUUAUUUCUUACUCCUAGAUUUUUACCACAAUGGGAGAUUUCUUUAUACAUCUCCUCAUCGAUCCUUCUAGAGGAAGCCAACGUCCCUACUACAAGCGUCAUUGUAUGCCAUCCGGCCUUCGGAAAUGGUAACUUCAUAGAAGCUGGAACCGUAGUCCUGGGCUAGAACCCUGGCUUUGUCCCCUGGUUAAGUCUCUUGGUCUUUCCAUGCCUCCGUUUCAUCAUCCACAAAGGUUAACUAGCAGUACCUUCUCACGCAGUGUUGUGGGUGGAGUCACCUAAUGAAUGACACAGCCAGCCAAACACUCACUGCCACAUCACUGUGGAUCUGAGAUUGAAGGGACCAGCUCCCCUUUCGGCAGUCAUAGCAGCCGAACACGUGCUUGUAUGACCUUGUCCUGGACACUAGAAAGUCAGAUGCCUGCCUCGUGACAAGGAACGAAUCAGAAGUUAGCUGGUGGCGCUAUGCUUUAAGACCCUGGCUGUACUUUACGGACAAGCACACAGCAAUGAUGCAAAGCAUAGCAACCACCCUGGGAGGGCCUAUGGGCCAUAACAACCAUUUGGCCAAUCAACACAGGGCAAUCCCUCCAAGGCUGGAGGUACACCAAUCCUGAGCCUGUGCGUACCCCUAGACACUCCCCUUACGCUGCCCUAUAAGAUCUCGGUCCUGUGGCUUCUCAGAGUCUUUUGCGAGCCAUCUGCCAAGGCGGGUGGGUGAAAGACCGGAGCUAACAUGGGGUUAGCUCGUUAAAUUACAAUAAAGCGUCAUGCAGUUUUCAGCAAGCUCUCGAAUCCGCCUGGUGAUUGGGAUGACCGCGGUCAUGGCCUGGGACCCCUAACAAGAUGCUGCAUAAGCAAGUCUGCUGCGUGGCCCAUUGUAAGUUCAAGAGCUGGAGUGUGACAGAGCAACUCCCUACCACAGGCAAAGCCCCGGGCUCCAUCUCUAGCACCACAGAAAUGUAAACAAAUGAAGAUAAGUAAAUAAAUGAGCCGUGUACUUACUGUGUGUGGCCUCUUAGUGUGAUCAACGCACACCAUGAACCUGAGAAGAGUGGGCCUGUGACGCUAACCCUGCACACUGCACAGGAGACCCCAGUAGGCAUGCACACUAGAAUAACAGCAGCAAGUAGAGAAUAGUAAUUGCAGAAGCCAGCAAGUCUGCUACUGUGAUCCCCGCAUCCUGUACUGUGCGUGGCUCAUUUAUUUACUUAUCGUCACUUGUUUACAUUUCUGUAGUGCCACACACAGUAAGUCACUACACCUUGCAGGUGUCCACAGUAUGCUUUCAUGACCAUACCAAAAAAAAAAAAAAAAAAAAAAAAAACAACAUGUGAAGAUGCAUUUCUCGAACCUAACCUGGUGUUGAGCAAGGCAUGACCGUAUUUAGGCCUGUCUCUCCUGCCAGAACAUACUCUCUAGAUAGCUGUAGAUGCCAGUCUGUGGCUGUAACCAGACCUAAGUACCGGGCCCUGGGCACCCACCUACACCAGCGUGCUGAGGCAGUCCUGGCUAAGGGAGUCAUCAAGGAAAAGACUCCAUCCAAUGGGAGGAAGUGCACUGAGGCCUGGGGGACCCGCAGGCAGCCUGGGAGCAUUAUGGAGUGGUGCUCUCUCACACUCGUGAGAAGAUGUGUGAACUGACUGCUGUCUGGACCCCCUUUCAGGAAAUAAGCUGGGGCAGCUCCUGCAGGGUACAUGUGUGGAAACAGAAGAAGCCUGUCAAGUCAGGGUUGGUCCUCUACUAGGGUAGCUGGUGGCUCUUUACACCUAUAAGGAUGUCUCUGGACAUUUGACAGUUCUACAGGAUGUCCCCAAUUGAUAGAUGGGUGUCUCUCACCACAGGUUCAUGGAUCUGAUUAGGAGGUCUGGGAGGGCUGGGUCCUCACAGGAACUAGGGUACCUGUGAGUGGAAACCAAAGCCUCAGGGCAGUGGCAUGGUGGUGCUGAGGAGAGGAACUGGUGCCUGCAUAGUGGCAGUCUGUGUUUGGGAGUGGAGGCAGAGGGUACCUGGAAGCAGGCUAGAGGCUCAUGGGAGAUUCGGCUCUGGUGAUGCUGGGUGGGUAGAUAGAAGGCACUGGCGGGCAUAAGAGGAGAGUUCAGAAGGUGGCUCAUAUGCUAAACUCCCUGUACACAUUAG
rnacentral:lncRNA from 1 species